AGAGUUUGAUCCUGGCUCAGGAUGAACGCUAGCUACAGGCUUAACACAUGCAAGUCGAGGGGCAGCAUGGUCUUAGCUUGCUAAGGCUGAUGGCGACCGGCGCACGGGUGAGUAACACGUAUCCAACCUGCCGUCUACUCUUGGCCAGCCUUCUGAAAGGAAGAUUAAUCCAGGAUGGCAUCAUGAGUUCACAUGUCCGCAUGAUUAAAGGUAUUUUCCGGUAGACGAUGGGGAUGCGUUCCAUUAGAUGGUAGGCGGGGUAACGGCCCACCUAGUCAACGAUGGAUAGGGGUUCUGAGAGGAAGGUCCCCCACAUUGGAACUGAGACACGGUCCAAACUCCUACGGGAGGCAGCAGUGAGGAAUAUUGGUCAAUGGGCGAUGGCCUGAACCAGCCAAGUAGCGUGAAGGAUGACUGCCCUAUGGGUUGUAAACCUCUUUUAUAAAGGAAUAAAGUCGGGUAUGCAUACCCGUUUGCAUGUACUUUAUGAAUAAGGAUCGGCUAACUCCGUGCCAGCAGCCGCGGUAAUACGGAGGAUCCGAGCGUUAUCCGGAUUUAUUGGGUUUAAAGGGAGCGUAGAUGGAUGUUUAAGUCAGUUGUGAAAGUUUGCGGCUCAACCGUAAAAUUGCAGUUGAUACUGGAUGUCUUGAGUGCAGUUGAGGCAGGCGGAAUUCGUGGUGUAGCGGUGAAAUGCUUAGAUAUCACGAAGAACUCCGAUUGCGAAGGCAGCCUGCUAAGCUGCAACUGACAUUGAGGCUCGAAAGUGUGGGUAUCAAAAAGGAUUAGAUACCCUGGUAGU
rnacentral:rRNA from 1 species